rnacentral:rRNA from 1 species
GACGAACGCUGGCGGCGUGCCUAAUACAUGCAAGUCGAGCGCAGGAAACUGACGGAACUCUUCGGAGGGAAGGCAGCGGAAUGAGCGGCGGACGGGUGAGUAACACGUAAGGAACCUGCCUCAAGGAUUGGGAUAACUCCGAGAAAUCGGAGCUAAUACCGGAUAGUUCAACGGACCGCAUGGUCCGCUGAUGAAAGGCGCUCCGGCGUCACCUUGAGAUGGCCUUGCGGUGCAUUAGCUAGUUGGUGGGGUAACGGCUCACCAAGGCGACGAUGCAUAGCCGACCUGAGAGGGUGAUCGGCCACACUGGGACUGGGACACGGCCCAGACUCCUACGGGAGGCAGCAGUAGGGAAUCUUCCACAAUGGACGAAAGUCUGAUGGAGCAACGCCGCGUGAGUGAUGAAGGUUUUCGGAUCGUAAAACUCUGUUGUAAGGGAAGAACACGUACGAGAGGGAAUGCUCGUACCUUGACGGUACCUUACGAGAAAGCCACGGCUAACUACGUGCCAGCCGCCGCAGUAA